GCCGCGUUGGCGUAGUGGUAGCGCGUCUCACUUGUACAGACAGUGUUUGAAAUGUUCGGUUUCAAACGCAGUUUGCUUACAGAAUAUGAGAAGGUCAUUCGUUCAAAUCGGGUACGUGGCA